rnacentral:tRNA from 1 species
GGUAGGAUGACUGAGGGAUAAGUGCUGGAUUGUAGCUCCAUGAACAGAGGUUUAAGUCCUCUUCUUGCCA